CAAAUGUGUUGAUUGCAUGUAUUGUGGCAGAGGUAUUGCAAUUGAAAAUUUCCCAUUGAAAUGCAAUGAG